rnacentral:rRNA from 1 species
AGAGUUUGAUCCUGGCUCAGGAUGAACGCUAGCUACAGGCUUAACACAUGCAAGUCGAGGGGCAGCAUGAACUUAGCUUGCUAAGUUUGAUGGCGACCGGCGCACGGGUGAGUAACACGUAUCCAACCUGCCGAUGACUCGGGGAUAGCCUUUCGAAAGAAAGAUUAAUACCCGAUGGCAUAAUUCUUCCGCAUGGUAGAAUUAUUAAAGAAUUUCGGUCAUCGAUGGGGAUGCGUUCCAUUAGGUUGUUGGCGGGGUAACGGCCCACCAAGCCUUCGAUGGAUAGGGGUUCUGAGAGGAAGGUCCCCCACAUUGGAACUGAGACACGGUCCAAACUCCUACGGGAGGCAGCAGUGAGGAAUAUUGGUCAAUGGACGAGAGUCUGAACCAGCCAAGUAGCGUGAAGGAUGACUGCCCUAUGGGUUGUAAACUUCUUUUAUACGGGAAUAAAGUGAGGCACGUGUGCCUUUUUGUAUGUACCGUAUGAAUAAGGAUCGGCUAACUCCGUGCCAGCAGCCGCGGU